rnacentral:lncRNA from 1 species
CAUACCACAGGCCAUCAUCGGGAGGGAAGGACCGGAGCAGCCCCGGGGAGUACACCAGUGUGUGUCAGGUGCACCACAUGGCCAGGGUUUUCCAGUCGGGCGCUGCUGAGCAUGUGAGCCAUCUGCAUGUGACUGAAGCUUAGAAACACGGUGCCCAUUUCUCCAUGCCCGCCAUGCCUGGAGGGCGGAGGGCUGUGGAAUCUGUGCAUCUGCAGCAUCUGAGGAAAAACUGCAGGCCCCAUUCACAGUUUUCCUUCAAGAGCUUAGCAUCCAAGACCACGGAGAUGCAACUCAGAGUGGAAGUCACCACAGUGCCAGGCACCAGUGGGCACCAGCAGCGUGGUGCAGACCUGCCCAGUCACACAAAAGGACAGACGCAGGACCCUUGGUUCUGCAUCUCUCACUUCCUGGAGGAUUCUGCCAGCUGAUCUAACUGUGAGAACAUAAAUAUUUCACUUCUAAGAGAGCUUUUCAUGAAAGAUCUGCCCAUCAGGCUAGCUGGGGAUCAAGAAAGGAAAUUCUCCCCAGUCACAGACAGGCCUGCAGGUGGCUGGUGCUUACUUCCUAGCUAGGAAGUUUGUUUGGCAGAACUCGAAAGUGGGAAAAAUCCAAGUCAGACUAUCUCGCGGUAACAGAUCACCUGUCAAUCUGGCCCACAGGAAAAGGCACCCGGAGGACCUGCAUUACGGAAUAGCCUUAUGUGAAAAAGACACAGUGGAGGUGGCAGUUUUGGAAGAAGAUGUACCAGCAACUAGGGCCACAUGGAUGGCAGCAAGCAAGACGGGAGGGGCACAGCCCUGCUCACCCUCUAUCCCAAGAGGAACAAGGUCUCUCCCAAGGAAUAAACCCUCUCUUUCCAUCAGAAAACCUGAGCCAUCCAUCCUCUGCUGGUGAGACCCCUUCUGGGCAGCAGCCUGGAGUCUGAAUCUCUCACACAAACUAGCAUUUGCAGGACAGGCGCUGUGCUUUGCAGAGAG